AUGAACGCUGGCGGCGUGCUUAACACAUGCAAGUCGAACGAACCUUCGGGUUAGUGGCGGACGGGUGAGUAACGCGUGGGAAUCUGCCCUCAGGAGGGGGAUAACGGUUGGAAACGACCGCUAAUACCCCAUAUGCCGAGAGGUGAAAUGAAUUUCGCCUGAGGAUGAGCCCGCGUCUGAUUAGCUAGUUGGUGAGGUAAGAGCUCACCAAGGCAUCGAUCAGUAGCUGGUCUGAGAGGAUGAUCAGCCACACUGGGACUGAGACACGGCCCAGACUCCUACGGGAGGCAGCAGUGGGGAAUUUUCCGCAAUGGGCGAAAGCCUGACGGAGCAACGCCGCGUGAGGGAUGAAGGCCUCUGGGCUGUAAACCUCUUUUAUCAAGGAAGAAGAUCUGACGGUACUUGAUGAAUAAGCCACGGCUAAUUCCGUGCCAGCAGCCGCGGUAAUACGGGAGUGGCAAGCGUUAUCCGGAAUUAUUGGGCGUAAAGCGUCCGCAGGCGGCCCUUCAAGUCUGCUGUUGAAAAGUGGAGCUUAACUCCAUCAUGGCAGUGGAAACUGUUGGGCUUGAGUGUGGUAGGGGCAGAGGAAAUUCCCGGUGUAGCGGUGAAAUGCGUAGAUAUCGGGAAGAACACCAGUGGCGAAGGCGCUCUGCUGGGCCAUCACUGACGCUCAUGGACGAAAGCCAGGGGAGCGAAAGGGAUUAGAUACCCCUGUAGUCCUGGCCGUAAACGAUGAACACUAGGUGUCGGGGGAAUCGACCCCUCCGGUGUCGUAGCCAACGCGUUAAGUGUUCCGCCUGGGGAGUACGCACGCAAGUGUGAAACUCAAAGGAAUUGACGGGGGCCCGCACAAGCGGUGGAGUAUGUGGUUUAAUUCGAUGCAACGCGAAGAACCUUACCAGGGUUUGACAUCCUGCGAAUCUCUUGGAAACGAGAGAGUGCCUUCGGGAGCGCAGUGACAGGUGGUGCAUGGCUGUCGUCAGCUCGUGUCGUGAGAUGUUGGGUUAAGUCCCGCAACGAGCGCAACCCACGUCUUUAGUUGCCAGCAUUUAGUUGGGCACUCUAGAGAGACCGCCGGUGAUAAACCGGAGGAAGGUGUGGAUGACGUCAAGUCAUCAUGCCCCUUACAUCCUGGGCUACACACGUACUACAAUGCUACGGACAAAGGGCAGCAAGUUCGCGAGGACAAGCAAAUCCCAUAAACCGUGGCUCAGUUCAGAUCGUAGGCUGCAACUCGCCUACGUGAAGGAGGAAUCGCUAGUAAUCGCAGGUCAGCAUACUGCGGUGAAUACGUUCCCGGGCC
rnacentral:rRNA from 1 species